GUAAUCGCGGAUCAGCACGCCGCGGUGAAUACGUUCCCGGGCCUUGUACACACCGCCCGUCACACCAUGGAAGUCUGCAAUGCCCGAAGCCGGUGGCCUAACCACUUAUGUGGAAGGAGCCGUCUAAGGCAGGGCAGAUGACUGGGGUGAAGUCGUAACAAGGUAUC
rnacentral:rRNA from 1 species